rnacentral:rRNA from 1 species
GAUUUCUGAUGAACCGGAUUGGCCCGUUUCCGACUCCGGAGAUGAGUGCUGAUUUGAGUUUGUCAUCCUUCCAGAGAGUUGCGCCUACCGUUGAUUCGGCCGGGUGCCGCGAUCUGGAUCUAUUACUUUGAAAAAAUUAGAGUGUUUAAAGCAGGCUUAUGCUGUGAAUACAUUAGCAUGGAAUAAUAAUUUAGGACUUCGGUUCUAUUUUGUUGGUUUCUAGGACUGAAGUAAUGAUUGAUAGGGAUAGUUGGGGGUGCUAGUAUUCAGCGGCCAGAGGUGAAAUUCUCGGAUUCGCUGAAGACUAACUUAUGCGAAAGCAUU